AUGCUCAUCUGAGAGCAUGGGGUCCUCUGUUAUCUACAGAACAGGUACAGCAUGGGCAGCAGCAGUGUAAGUUUUCCCCACUACCCCAUCAAUUACUAAUCUUAUUUAUUACAUGUACUAGGGUGGUGCCUAGAGGCCAGGGCCCUCAUGGUGCUAGGCAUUGCACAA
rnacentral:sRNA from 1 species